rnacentral:rRNA from 1 species
CUCAAAUGAAUUGACGGGGGCCCGCACAAGCGGUGGAGCAUGUGGUUUAAUUCGAUGCAACGCGAAGAACCUUACCUACUCUUGACAUCCAGAGAACUUAGCAGAGAUGCUUUGGUGCCUUCGGGAACUCUGAGACAGGUGCUGCAUGGCUGUCGUCAGCUCGUGUUGUGAAAUGUUGGGUUAAGUCCCGCAACGAGCGCAACCCUUAUCCUUUGUUGCCAGCGAUUCGGUCGGGAACUCAAAGGAGACUGCCAGUGAUAAACUGGGGGAAGGUGGGGAUGACGUCAAGUCAUCAUGGCCCUUACGAGUAGGGCUACACACGUGCUACAAUGGCAUAUACAAAGAGAAGCGACCUCGCGAGGGCAAGCGGACCUCGUAAAGUAUGUCGUAGUCCGGAUUGGAGUCUGCAACUCGACUCCAUGAAGUCGGAAUCGCUAGUAAUCGUAGAUCAGAAUGCUACGGUGAAUACGUUCCCGGGCCUUGUACACACCGCCCGUCACACCAUGGGAGUGGGUUGCAAAAGAAGUAGGUAGCUUAACCUUCGGGAGGGCGCUUACCACUUUGUGAUUCAUGACUGGGGUGAAGUCGUAACAAGGCAAC